rnacentral:rRNA from 1 species
UGACGGUACCUGGAGAAAAAGCAACGGCUAACUACGUGCCAGCAGCCGCGGUAAUACGUAGGUUGCAAGCGUUGUCCGGAUUUACUGGGUGUAAAGGGCGUGUAGGCGGAGAGGCAAGUCAGAUGUGAAAUCCCGGGGCUCAACCCCGGAACUGCAUUUGAAACUGUCUCCCUUGAGUAUCGGAGAGGCAAGCGGAAUUCCUAGUGUAGCGGUGAAAUGCGUAGAUAUUAGGAGGAACACCAGUGGCGAAGGCGGCUUGCUGGACGACAACUGACGCUGAGGCUCGAAGGCGUGGGGAGCAAACAGGAUUAGAUACCCUG